UACAGAGGUCUCAAGCGUUGUUCGGAUUCAUUGGGCGUAAAGGGUGCGUAGGCGGCGCGGUAAGUCGGGUGUGAAAUCUCGGGGCUUAACUCCGAAACUGCAUUCGAUACUGCCGUGCUUGAGGACUGGAGAGGAGACUGGAAUUUACGGUGUAGCGGUGAAAUGCGUAGAUAUCGUAAGGAAGACCAGUGGCGAAGGCGGGUCUCUGGACAGUUCCUGACGCUGAGACGCGAAAGCGUGGGGGAGCAAACAGG
rnacentral:rRNA from 1 species